CGCGUAGGUGGCUAAUUAAGUCAAAUGUGAAAUCCCCGAGCUUAACUUGGGAAUUGCAUUCGAUACUGGUUAGCUAGAGUAUGGGAGAGGAUGGUAGAAUUCCAGGUGUAGCGGUGAAAUGCGUAGAGAUCUGGAGGAAUACCGAUGGCGAAGGCAGCCAUCUGGCCUAAUACUGACGCUGAGGCGCGAAAGCUAGGGGAGCAAACGGGAUUAGAUACCCGCGUA
rnacentral:rRNA from 1 species